rnacentral:rRNA from 1 species
GACGAACGCUGGCGGCGUGCCUAAUACAUGCAAGUCGAGCGAGCGGCGGACGGGUGAGUAACACGUAAGGAACCUACCGUUAAGCGGGGGACAACAUCCGGAAACGGGUGCUAAUACCGCCUACUUAUCGAUGGCCUUGCGGUGCAUUAGCUCGUUGGUGGGGUAACGGCCUACCAAGGCCAUGAUGCAUAGCCGACCUGAGAGGGUGAUCGGCCACAGUGGGACUGAGACACGGCCCAAACUCCUACGGGAGGCAGCAGUAGGGAAUCUUCCGCAAUGGGCGCAAGCCUGACGGAGCAACGCCGCGUGAGUGAAGAAGGUUUUCGGAUCGUAAAGCUCUGUUGUAAGAGAAGCGGUAUCUUACCAGAAAGCCACGGCUAACUACGUGCCAGCAGCCGCGGUAAUAC